rnacentral:rRNA from 1 species
UACGUAGGGUGCGAGCGUUAAUCGGAAUUACUGGGCGUAAAGCGUGCGCAGGCGGUUCGUUGUGUCGGCGGUGAAAGCCCCGGGCUUAACCUGGGAACGGCCGUUGAAACUGGCGAACUGGAGUGUGGCAGAGGGGGGUGGAAUUCCGCGUGUAGCAGUGAAAUGCGUAGAGAUGCGGAGGAACACCGAUGGCGAAGGCAGCCCCCCUGGGCUAACACUGACGCUCAGGCACGAAAGCGCUGGGGAGCAAACAGG